UGGCGGACGGGUGAGUAACGCGUGGGUAACCUGCCUUACACAGGGGGAUAACACCUGGAAACAGGUGCUAAUACCGCAUAAGCGCACAGGGCCGCAUGGCCCGGUGUGAAAGACUCCGGUGGUGUAAGAUGGACCCGCGUCUGAUUAGCUUGUUGGUGGGGUAGAGGCCCACCAAGGCGACGAUCAGUAGCCGGCCUGAGAGGGUGGACGGCCACAUUGGGACUGAGACACGGCCCAAACUCCUACGGGAGGCAGCAG
rnacentral:rRNA from 1 species